rnacentral:sRNA from 1 species
GCUGGGCGUGGUGGCUCACGCCUGUAAUCCCAGCACUUUGGGAGGCUGAGGCAGUUGGAUCACCUGAGGUCGGGAGUUCGAGACCUGCCUGACCAACAUGGAGAAACACUGUCUCUA